GACGAACGCUGGCGGCGUGCUUAACACAUGCAAGUCGAGCGGUAAGGCCCUUUCGGGGGUACACGAGCGGCGAACGGGUGAGUAACACGUGGGUGACCUGCCCUCAGCUCUGGGAUAAGCCCGGGAAACUGGGUCUAAUACCGGAUAUGACUUCAUGACGCAUGUUGUGGAGUGGAAAGCCUUGUGCGGCUGAGGAUGGGCCCGCGGCCUAUCAGCUUGUUGGUGGGGNGAUGGCCUACCAAGGCGACGACGGGUAGCCGGCCUGAGAGGGCGACCGGCCACACUGGGACUGAGAUACGGCCCAGACUCCUACGGGAGGCAGCAGUGGGGAAUCUUGCGCAAUGGGCGAAAGCCUGACGCAGCGACGCCGCGUGAGGGAU
rnacentral:rRNA from 1 species